ensembl:lncRNA novel transcript, antisense to ENPEP
UUUCUAUAUGUGAGUUUUCAAAUAUAGUGUGAUUUAUCCCCAGAAAAAAUUCCCAGUCUUCUAAUCCCGUAACUGGGAGCCACUUGGAGUUUGCCAGUAAACUUUCCUAAGUUCCUGCUGUAUCACUCCUCUGUUGCUUUCUAGAAUUGUCCUGACUGAAAGUGGAGGUCUUUGAUAGAAAAUGGAACCAUCUUCAGUGUUCUUAAUGUUAACUUUGCACAUAUCAUUUUCACUCUAAGUUGCUAUAAUUUUCAGUAGGUGCUGUACCUAAAUCACGUUACCUCCUAAAUUCCUCUUCUUUUCAGACAUAGAGAUAAAACAGUAUUAGAAGGACUCCAAGAAGCCUGGAAGAGGGAUGAAGCCACUUUGGAAUGCUGCCUCCAUAUUUGUUCUUUUGGUUAAUUCACUUCUUGGCACUACCACCAGAGGGCAGGCAAAGGAAGGGAGAAGCAGCAAUCACUUUUAGUGGGAAGUCUACCAUCUGCAAGCCCGGAAGAGAGGCUUCACCAGAAACGGAAUCAGCCAGCACUUUGAUCUUGGACUUUCCAGCCUCCAUAACUGCAAGAAAAAUGCAUUUCUAUUGUUUAAGCCACCCAGUCUAUGGUAUUUCCUUAUGGCAGCCCAAGCUGACUAAGACACAUGAUAUUCCAUCAAAAACAGAUGUUAUUUCAUCAGGGGUUGUCACAGUCACAAUAAUUGGAUGCGAAGACAUCAAAGAAUCAUCCUCUUGAACAGAUGACAGGCCGAGAAGACAUCAACUUCUGUGAAUUCUGCUUCUGCGACUUCUGUGUGACUUUUGGAUAUGUGCCAAACUUUUCAAGCCCUAUUUCUAUAUCUGUGCAAUGAGAAUGAUGACAUCACUCCACAGAUUUGGUCUAAGAAUUAAGAGAGGUUGCAUAUCAAUUUGCCAAAUAUUGAUGUUCAGGUUUUUCUAAUAUUAACUUGUUAUUGGAAUUUGGAUACUUCAUAAUUAAUGAAAGAAAAUAUUGGCAGUUUAUCCUUUAGUUCUAAUCACCUCUCGUUUCCCUCCUAGGUCUUGUCAGCAAUACAGACUGGUUGACAGGCCUAGCAGUACUGUCAGAUUUCCUUGGUUCAAAGCUCAGUCUUUUUACUUUCUAGAUAUAUAAGUUUAAGCAAGUUUCCUCACCCAUUAAAUAGAAGUAAUUAUGGCCUGUACUUUUUGGAACUGUGCACAGGACUCAGUGAUAAAAUUCAUGGUUAGUACUUGGCAUAGUACCUGGCACAGAAUGAGAACCUAACCCAUUAGCUGCUAUAGUUAUUUUGACUCUUAAGCAGUAAGAUUCUGAAAUCUAACUCUGCUAAAUCACUACUAACUUUAAAAAUUUCAUUGGCUCUACUUAAUUAAAAAUAUUUCCAAAACAGGAGUAUGUUGUAUUGGCUUACAUUUUCCAAUUAUGCGGGUUUCAUUUAUAACAGGAAAGGUACU